rfam:Tessaracoccus flavus strain RP1T, complete genome.
CGGUACACACAGGGGAGCGCCACAGGGGCGCUGAGAGUGCGGAUCACCGCAGACCCUCAAACCUGAUCCGGUUAGCACCGGCGUAGGGAGUGAGAUCUCCUCGGGC